rnacentral:misc_RNA from 1 species
GGCUGUUCAAAUGAUUGCAGACCUUGUUAAAGCUUCUGAUUGUCAACUACAUCCUGAUUCCAUUGAGGUGUUUAUGUCUCUGACAUUUGAUGAUGAUCUUGGAAGGCGCGAAGCUCAAGAUGCUAAGAAUAAAUUUAAAAGCAAAAAUGCCAAAAGAAAGGACCUUAAGGAGCAGAAAGAAUCAGCUGCCAACGAGAAAAAGAGAACACGGAAAGAGAUGAUGUCAAAGACACGAGAAGAGGUCACCACAGAAUUGAAG